AUUGAACGCUGGCGGCAGGCCUAACACAUGCAAGUCGGGCGAGCGGCGGACGGGUGAGUAAUGUAUGGGGAUCUGCCUGAUGGAGGGGGAUAACUACUGGAAACGGUAGCUAAUACCGCAUACCAUCAUAUGAACCCAUAUGGGAUUGUAUAGUUGGUGAGGUAACGGCUUACCAAGGCGACGAUCCCUAGCUGGUCUGAGAGGAUGAUCAGACAGACUUGAACUGAGACACGGCCAAGACUCCUACGGGAGGCAGCAGUGGGGAAGAUGGCAAAAGGGAAGGAAGCAUGAGGCAGCAAUGCCGCGGGUAUGAAGAAGGCAGUAGGGUUGUAAAGUACUUUAAGGCGGGAGGCGUUACCGACAGAAGAAGCACCGGCUAACUCCGUGACAGCAGCCGCGGUAAUAC
rnacentral:rRNA from 1 species